UACGUAGGGUCCGAGCGUUGUCCGGAAUUACUGGGCGUAAAGAGCUCGUAGGUGGUUUGUCGCGUUGUUCGUGAAAACUCACAGCUUAACUGUGGGCGUGCGGGCGAUACGGGCAGACUGGAGUACUGCAGGGGAGACUGGAAUUCCUGGUGUAGCGGUGGAAUGCGCAGAUAUCAGGAGGAACACCGGUGGCGAAGGCGGGAUCCUGGGCCAGUACUGACGCUGAGGAGCGAAAGCAUGGGGAGCGAACAGG
rnacentral:rRNA from 1 species